UACGGGGGGGGCAAGCGUUGUUCGGAAUUACUGGGCGUAAAGGGCUCGUAGGCGGCCAACUAAGUCAGACGUGAAAUCCCUCGGCUUAACCGGGGAACUGCGUCUGAUACUGGAUGGCUUGAGUUCGGGAGAGGGAUGCGGAAUUCCAGGUGUAGCGGUGAAAUGCGUAGAUAUCUGGAGGAACACCGGUGGCGAAGGCGGCAUCCUGGACCGACAUUGACGCUGAGGCGCGAAAGCGUGGGAGCAAACAGG
rnacentral:rRNA from 1 species